CCUACGGGAGGCUGCAGUGGGGAAUAUUGGACAAUGGGGGGAACCCUGAUCCAGCCAUGCCGCGUGUGUGAAGAAGGCCCUCGGGUUGUAAAGCACUUUCAGUGAGGAAGAACGCCUGGUGGUUAAUACCCAUCAGGAAAGACAUCACUCACAGAAGAAGCACCGGCUAACUCCGUGCCAGCAGCCGCGGGUAAUACGGAGGGUGCGAGCGUUAAUCGGAAUUACUGGGCGUAAAGCGCGCGUAGGUGGCUUGAUAAGCCGGUUGUGAAAGCCCCGGGGCUCAACCGGGGAACGGCAUCCGGAACUGUCAAGCUAGGGGGCAGAGGAGGAAGGUGGAAUCCCGGGGGUGGGGGUGAAAGGGGUGGGGAUCGGGGGGAAUACCAGGGGGGAAGGCGGCCUUCUGGCCGGACACUGACACUGAGUUGCGAAAGCGUGGUAGCAAACAGGAUUAGAUACCCUAGUAGUC
rnacentral:rRNA from 1 species